AAAAGGUCAGAGACCCAGUUUACCAUGGUUUAUGUACAAUCUGGCAAGUGUCACUUAAAAAGACAUUUUAUAUAAACAAAGAAAGUGGCAGGUGAGAUAAUAACUGCACCAGACCACCGUUUGUCCUCAGAGAGGAAGAAUAAACAGCUCGAGAGAGAGAGAGAGAGAGAGAGAGAGAGAAGAUAGGGAAGAAGAAGACGACGAUAAUGGAGACUUCGACAGAGGAGCAAAGAAACAGAUCAGAAGAAACAUCUGGUUUGUACUACAGCCCUUGCUAUUUCUUUGACCAGGUCAUCAAAUCUUUUCUUAAGUGCCUUGGUCAUGACUCCACAACCGAACAACCUCAAUCUCAACAUCCUCCUCUGCAUGCAGAAAGAGAGAUGAAAUUCACUGAAGAGUUUGCAGUCAACGGAACAAAGUCAUCAAGAGGUAAUUUGAGAAGGCCACCAAGGCCACCAAUAAGCUCUGGCGGAGGUGGUCAAAUAAACCAAUCUUCUUCUUAAGGUUAUCAUGUUUACAGGUCCAAAAAGACUACACUUGUUCAUCGUGUUGUAUGCUUAAUUUUCCGGGGCUUCAUCGUCGGUGGUUUUGUUCCUUGGUGAUUAGGUCAUGCCAAGGAAUCUGUAAGUUAGCAUUUAAUGCUAUAUUUCGACAUUAUCAUACUCGAAUACUUUCUUCCAGUUUAAAGUUAUUGCAGAUCUGAGGUUUGCUGGUAA